AUUGAACGCUGGCGGCAUGCCUAACACAUGCAAGUCGAACGGCAGCACGGGUGUUUGCCCUUGGUGGCGAGUGGCGAACGGGUGAGUAAUAUAUGGGAACAUGUCCUGUAGUGGGGGAUAGCCCGGCGAAAGCCGGAUUAAUACCGCAUACGAUCUACGGAUGAAAGCGGGGGACCUUCGGGCCUCGCGCUAUGGUGUUGGCCGAUGGCUGAUUAGCUAGUUGGUGGGGUAAAGGCCUACCAAGGCGACGAUCAGUAGCUGGUCUGAGAGGACGACCAGCCACACUGGAACUGAGACACGGUCCAGACUCCUACGGGAGGCAGCAGUGGGGAAUUUUGGACAAUGGGCGAAAGCCUGAUCCAGCAAUGCCGCGUGUGUGAAGAAGGCCUUCGGGUUGUAAAGCACUUUUGUUCGGAAGGAAAUCCUUUGCACUAAUACGGUCGUGGGAUGACGUUACCGAAAGAAUAAGCACCGGCUAACUACGUG
rnacentral:rRNA from 1 species